rnacentral:rRNA from 1 species
GGCGUCGAGCGGCGGACGGGUGAGUAAUGCCUAGGAAAUUGCCCUGAUGUGGGGGAUAACCAUUGGAAACGAUGGCUAAUACCGCAUGAUGCCUACGGGCCAAAGAGGGGGACCUUCGGGCCUCUCGCGUCAGGAUAUGCCUAGGUGGGAUUAGCUAGUUGGUGAGGUAAGGGCUCACCAAGGCGACGAUCCCUAGCUGGUCU